GUGCCAGCAGCCGCGGUAAGACGAGUCUCACGAACGUUAUUCGGAAUUACUGGGCUUAAAGGGUGCGUAGGCGGUGGAGUAAGUCGGAUGUGAAAUACCAUAGCUUAACUAUGGAACUGCACUCGAUACUACUUUGCUAGAGUAAGACAGAGGUGAGUGGAACUGAGGGUGGAGCGGUGAAAUGCGUUGAUAUCCUCAGGAACACCGGUGGCGAAGGCGACUCACUGGGUCUUUACUGACGCUGAUGCACGAAAGCUAGGGUAGCAAACGGGAUUAGAUACCCCCGUAGUCC
rnacentral:rRNA from 1 species